CGAAGUUGCUGGAACCACUGCUGAAACUAUCCAAAAUCACUUAAAACCAGCAACCAAACUCCUUCAAGGAUCAAAACACCAAAAACACCAAAACUUGCAUUAUUACCCUCAAAUUUCAACACUUAAGCUCAUUCCUCCAAUUCCAAUGUCAAAACUCACCUAACAAUCUUCAAAUCAGGUGAAAAAGGUCCCAAAACCAGUGUACAAUGAUGGAGAAUCACCCUCAGGUCCAAGAUCCAGCUUCCUCCAAAGAUAUCAUCAAGAAAACCCAAAACUCCCAAUUUCAGCUUCAAACUGCCAGCAAUAGA
rnacentral:lncRNA from 1 species